GAUGAACGCUGGCGGCGUGCCUAAUACAUGCAAGUCGAGCGAACGGACGAGAAGCUUGCUUCUCUGAUGUUAGCGGCGGACGGGUGAGUAACACGUGGAUAACCUACCUAUAAGACUGGGAUAACUUCGGGAAACCGGAGCUAAUACCGGAUAAUAUUUUGAACCGCAUGGUUCAAAAGUGAAAGACGGUCUUGCUGUCACUUAUAGAUGGAUCCGCGCUGCAUUAGCUAGUUGGUAAGGUAACGGCUUACCAAGGCAACGAUGCAUAUCCGACCUGAGAGGGUGAUCGGCCACACUGGAACUGAGACACGGUCCAGGCUCCUACGGGAGGCAGCAGUAGGGAAUCUUCCGCAAUGGGCGAAAGCCUGACGGAGCAACGCCGCGUGAGUGAUGAAGGUCUUCGGAUCGUAAAACUCUGUUAUUAGGGAAGAACAUAUGUGUAAGUAACUGUGCACAUCUUGACGGUACCUACUCAGAAAGCCACGGCUAACUACGUG
rnacentral:rRNA from 1 species